rnacentral:lncRNA from 1 species
CACCGACCCCAAAAAAACCCUGAAAAAUUCACCAUCCCAUUCGAUUAGAUUAAGCUAGUUCAACAACCAUGGAAAAAGAAUUGAUCUCUGUGCAAAAUCACCCAUACUUUUAAAGGUACAUUUCUCUUCCUAUAAUCUCCUUGACUCUGUGUUUUUGGGCAUAUGGGUAUGUCACAUUCUCUAUGUUUUAUUAUUAUUAUUACUAUUAUUUUUGCUGUCAAUUUCCUUCGUGACCUUCCUGCUGUUCCUGCUGCUAUAUGCCCUAACAAUAUUACUUACACCUCACCCUAAAGGGACAAACAUGUAGAAGAAAGGACCAAAUCCAUCUUUUAAAUUAGGGUCUUUUUCUUUUAAAUGUUGUUGUACUUUUUUUAUUUCUUUUUUCAAUUUAUGUAAAUCGAGAUUUUUUUUGCUAUCUGGGUUAUUUGGAUAUGCAUGAUUAUGAAAUCAUUCAUGGGUUUCUUGAUUUUGGACCCACCCUUUUUCAGAUUUUGAUUAUUCCUCCAUCUAGGGUUUUAUUCCCAUAAUUCUACCAAAUUAUCUCAUAAAAUUCUUGAUAAUGUCAAAUGUCAGCUCCUUAACGCAAAAUUACCUGUCAUUUUGUCUAGUGGGUUGAGGGUUUUGGCUAAUGAUCGCCUCAAAAAAACUUGGUACCAUCAAUCUCCUAAUCUGGAUUCUUAAUUCUGGUUAUUCACUACUUUUUAACUAACAAUCAAUAUUGAUUGUUCAUUCUUUCUAAUGUGUCAGAUGUUAUACCUUGAUACUAGUUAGUGAAAUGGAGAGUGAGAUUUCUCCAAAUAAAUUUGAUUUUUUUACUGUUUAUAUUUCUCAAAAUGCUUCCGCUUUAAUUUUGGUUUCUAUAAAUCUGCAUGCGAGCAGAUGCUUUACUAUUUGCCCUUUUCGCUUUUAGCAGAAAACCCUGUUUCUUUUUGGUUCCUGGCUGUUUAUUCUAUUUUAAUCUACAAAAAUUUUUUGGCUAAAAAUUUCUUGGUGGAUUUUUCCAGUCAGACUUUACUCGUUGACUGUUUUCUAGUUGGUUUCUUUUUGUACAUGAGAAAUAAAUAAUCAUGCCUUUUUGCUAUGUCUCCUGAAAGAGACCAGAUGCUUAUAAUCCUAGUCAUGGUUAUUUCUUCGGAGAAUAAUGAGAAGACACUUAUGGAUGUGACAAAAACGGUCUUAAAAAAAUUAAUGGGAAUACAAAGACUUGUAGACUAAACCAGUUUAAUUGAAGACUGAUUGUACCGUGACUUUAGUUGGUUUUUAUUUUCUUUAAAGAACGAAAUAAAUUUGCUAUUCUGUUGGCUGUCUAGAGAUUUAGGAUUUAGAACUGUUAGCAAUCAUUUAAUACUUACUGUUUUCAAAAUGCUUAUUAGGAAUGAAUUAGGAUAAGAAAAGGAAUUACUGAGAAUUAUGUCGGAUUUUGCUUAGCUUCAAAUUCCUAUGCCGAUGAUGCAGCUUGACUAAUAAUGACUAAUUUACUAAAAUUAUGGUUGCUCAUUUAGCAAGUUUAGUUUUAUUUCAUGAUUAAUAAUUAUAUAAUUCCAUUUUGAGCAAAAAUGUGUUUUCCUUGAUGAUUCCUAAUGAAAUACAUUAUUCGGAAUUCUAUAGAGGUUUUGUGUAUUUUGAACAGGUGAAUGUAAACACUCUUGUACCUUUCUUCUUCUUUUCUUUCCCUUCUAUAUGAAAAAGGUAGUAGUUGAUAAUUGAAAAUAAUUUUGUACUUUUGCUACCAUGAUAUAUCAAUUACAGAUUUGUGUAUAU